CACUAUAGAGCUGUAAUCUUAGCAUUAGCCUUUUAAGCUAAAGAAAAUAUCAAUUAUUUUUAGUGA
rnacentral:tRNA from 1 species